AGAAUUGACGGGGCCGCACAAGCGGUGGAGCAUGUGGUUAAUUCGACGCAACGCGAAGAACCUUACCAGGGCUUGACAUCCCUUGAAGCAGCUAGAGAUAGCUGUGUCCUUCGGGACAAGGAGACAGGUGGUGCAUGGUUGUCGUCAGCUCGUGUCGUGAGAUGUUGGGUUAAGUCCCGCAACGAGCGCAACCCUUGUCUUUAGUUGCCAUCAUUCAGUUGGGCACUCUAAAGAGACUGCCGGUGUCAAACCGGAGGAAGGUGGGGAUGACGUCAAGUCCUCAUGGCCUUUAUGACCAGGGCUACACACGUACUACAAUGGCCGGUACAAAGGGCAGCCACUUAGCGAUAAGGAGCCAAUCCCGUAAAGCCGGUCUCAGUCCGGAUUGGAGUCUGCAACUCGACUCCAUGAAGUUGGAAUCGCUAGUAAUCGCAGAUCAGCACGCUGCGGUGAAUACGUUCCCGGGCCUU
rnacentral:rRNA from 1 species